CACGGCGCCGCACCCACCUGCCCCCUCCGCGCCCUGGCGCUUCCCGGGAAGCUGCGGGUGGGGACUUGCCCAGCACCCAAGCCUCUGGGACUGUGUAGCUGUCUCUGGGAGGCCUGUCCUGCGAGGAUAGUCCCUGUAACUGCGUCAGGGCGUGUCCUCCUGAAGGGGAACCUUUUACACACACUCAGGCUCCGACACCAAGGGCGCUGUCGGUGGCGGGCUCAGUGGUGACAGACGAGCAGGGCACCCUCUUGUCUUUGGCUGCAAAAUGCCAGGCACUGGAGGCCAACUUUCACUUAGCCUUUGUCAUUUUGAAAAAUUACCCGUUUGCGGCACAGAAUGGAGGUCAUUUUCUCAAAGAUGCCUUUUCCCAAAAGCAGAGUUCUUGUGUUGAGGAGGCUCCUGCAGUGGUGCUUGUCCAGGUGUGCAGGAGCUCGGGGAGCGAGACAGGUGUGGUGUGGAGACAGUGGCGGGGAGGUGACUGUGGGCCGACCUGGCGGAAGGGGGCACAUUUGGCACCAGCGUGGGCCCGUGAGCAGCAGCGGACGAUGAGGGGUGUCCAGACAUGUGCCGACAGCCAGGAGUGGCAGCUCGUGCCCCUGGUGUGACAGCUUUUGUUUUCCUGCUCGUGAGGUUGUGACAUGUACAGACAUACAAUGUGGCCAUCCUGCCCACUCGCCGGACUUCCCCCAGUUCGGCUCAUGGGGUGGAAUUAGCUGUGUCCAUAUCUCGCUUUGCAGAGGACAUGAGGACUUAACAGAAAUCUGGCUACCAACCCUAGACGGGUCCAUCGCCACGGGUGGCCAAGAGGGCCCCUGCCGGCACAAGGGCCUCUGAGCAGGUGAAGCGUCACGGAGCCCCUGCCGUUAGUCACCCAGGAAGCCGUCGGGUUCUGUGAUGCUCAGCUGACCAGCAACGUGUGUGAAGUGCUGUGGGCAUGGCAGUGGGCUGCGGGGGUGGGUCAGGGUCGGCGUGGCGACGGGAAGUGGGCUGACGAGUCCCAUCCCAGAGGCAGCGCAGUGUAAGCGGCAGGCUGGGGCCUGGGCGUGGAGGCUCCGUCCACGUCCCGGGUGUGGGGGAGCAGACUUGGAAGCCAGUGCCGCGGAGAUUCCACAGCCCUGGGUGUGGAGGCCACAUGGAGGACCGGCGAGCUGGGUGAGAGUCCCUGAGGGCAGGUUACGUGUCCAGGGUGAAGGGUCUGAGGUGCAGGGUCAGGGUGGCCGGGGAGCUCGACCAGGGGAGCCGUGGCUCUUACUGAAGGUCCGCGCGGAGGCGGGCCUGGGCUCAGUGGGCUCGUGCCACUAGUUUCCAGAUUAACAGAGAGAAGGGCAAGGUGGAGCGCUUGCUGUGGUUCCUGCCAGAGAGGAGCUGCUCCCCAGAUGCCAGUCAGGGUCACAGGUGAACGGUAUCCGGCUUCGGACAGCAAGUUGUGUCACUCUGCUUACUGGUGACAGCUCCGUGCUGUAAGAUACCCAGCGUCUGUUUUGGGAAAAAGAUUUAAAGUGUUCCGACAAGAAAUAAACAAGGCUCUUUCUUUCCCGUU